rnacentral:lncRNA from 1 species
ACAAGUAAUCCUCGUGUGUGACAGAGAGAGAGAGAGAGAGAGAGAGAGAGAGAGAGAGAGAAACGAGCUGGCGGAGAGGAGCAGAAGGCAGGAGGGGAAAUCUGGCACAACGGCUGGGAGAGGAAACUUGAUGCUUCUGGGCCACCAUUUGCCAGGGCCUCGCUCGAGCCGGCGCCUCGGUUCCUGCCCAGCUGGAUUUGGGGGGCAGCAUUGCCUGGCGCAGGGAGAUCAAAUGAGACUGCAAAGAAGCAUAAAAUGAAUAGACAAUCCAACCAACCAAAGACCGGGGGCAGCAGCAGGCCAGCAAGACGGCAUCUUCUCCUUCCCAGCCUAGAAGCCCUGUGAAAUCGAGGAUCUUCCCCCUAAAACACAUACACACAAGAUAUGUGCAAUCAAGCUGCCACCGCUUGGUAAAAAGCCAUGGUGCCUAACCAAAAAGGAUCAGGAACAGAUCCUUGAAUCAGCUGUCACUUCUAUAGAAUGGGAUUUUUUUUUCCUUCCUCCUUAACCUGCGCUGGAAAUUGCCGUUGGCUUUAUACAUCUCUAUAGAGAGAGGCUAAAGAGUCUUGCGUGAGAAAGAAGCAAUUUACAAUGCAAAUAGAGGCCUGUGAAGGGACGGAUGCUGCUGCUCACUCGUAACAGCUUGCUGCACCUUAAUAGCUGGUUUUAUUUUCUGAUAUUAAUAGAUGAAUUGUUGGCUAACGCUGCCGGAGAUUACUUGCUGAAAGGAAAAAGAAAAGUUCGGAAUAAACUCUGAAGGCAACAGAUCUCGUUUGGAUGUUUUAGCCGCGCACACACACAAACAGAAACCAGGUCAUAUUUACAUAAAAGGAGGAAUCUUAAGCGCGGCAAGUAUCCUGGACGACCACUCUUCGGUACUGCCAGAAAGGAUCAGGACCUGGAGUCUGGCAAGAGGAAGACAGAGGCCUGUGUGGGAAGCGAGUUGUUAUCUUUGGUUAUCUAGCUGUAUGAGUGUAUUGGUCUUCAUAAAGCUAGAUAACCGAAAGUAAAAACUCCUUCAAGAUCGCCGGGGAGCGUGUGAGAAUGAAAGACUACAGCCGAGAGACAGUAAAAACCAGAAAGGUCAGGAAUACUUAUUGAAUCUAACUUUGUUUUUGUUUUGUUUUUUUCCUUAUGAUUAAAGGUGGGAUGAGAGAAAAUUAAAUGACACACACAUGCUAAAAUAUCAAGGUUCCAGAUAUGUCUUGAGAGGGGUUGUUGCAGCUGCAAAGGAGAAGUGUAUAGUGAUAAUGAGUAAAGAUGCAUGUGCAGUUUGUUCUAUUUUAAGGCAAAAGUUAUAUCAGGGAUUUUUUUCUUAGAAAGGUGUUGCAGAGAUGUCUGGUACCUAGUUUAAAAAUGAUUCCAUAAUAUGUAGACUUGGGCAGUUCCUUUGGGAGGCACCUCCCUCUCAAAAUUUGAAGAUUGUGCUUGGAAAUUACUUUACAUGUAUUUGGGCUGUAUGUCAAUUUGUACGAAAUUAGACUUUCAGAAAAGUUUAUACUGGAAGGUUAAUAAUUUGUAUCUACUGAGGACUUAGAGCUAGCAGGCAAAAUGAAAAAAAAAAAAAAAAAAGCAAGGGCUGAUUUUUAUUCUUCUAUUCAAAAUACAAGGACAGAUGCUUCUCUGUUCCAAGAGGGUUUCCUUGAGGAAGCUACUGAAGCAGAAAGACAUGAUGGAGACGAGAUCGCCUCCCCUCUUGUCAAAGUGUUAAAAAAAUGUUCUGUCUUACUCUGCGCCUAGCAUUGGAAAUGAAAGUGACAUUUACGCCACAACCCACGUGUGCGCCUCCUCUCUUUUUGUUUAAGGAUGAUCAGGUCUAUCCAGGAAACAGCUCUGGCAUCCCAAACUGAAAUAAUUAGGACGUAUAUAGACCUGACAAAAAUGGAAAGGGGGUGGGGAAUCUGAGGGUCUGUCUUGCCUAAUUGAUUCCGCUAAACGGAAUGCAGGAGAUGUGAACGGCAGGACGCUCCGAUUCCCACGCUCGGGGGCAAGUGAUAAAGCGGGGCCGGGCAGCCUAUGACAGACAGCCCUGUUGGGGGGUGGGGGUAUGAAAAAAACAUCAAGUGCACACACCAUACUCAUCUCCAUCGCUUAAGAAAGUAAAGGCAUUUCCCACCCACAGCCAUCUGCAGCUUCCCAAAUGGCAGCACCAACUGGUCUGUAGCUGCUACAUAGUCUGCUUCUGUUAAUUUUUUAACCACUGUUUAAUCUGGCCAUAAUUAAGUUUGGCUUUCUUCGUUGUUUGAGAUUUUCAGAAUUCAAGGCAAGCUAGUAGAAAGCAAUUCCAAGAAAGUCCCAUGACUGCCUGCCCCUAAUGUCAAAAUCUCAGUCCAUGAGAUUAUGGCCUUGUGACCACAUUUUUGCUUUUGUUUUGGGUGGGCAAAUGUGUAUAGAGAUAAAAUACAUAUCUCUAUAUAACAGUCGUUAUUAUAAUUUCAUGAGGCUUUUUACCUCUUAACAUGAUACAUCUAGGAACUUGGUCUAAUUGUGCUAGUAGAUAUACACUAGAAGUAAAACUAUAAAGUCAUUAGCCUGUAGAAAGUUGAUUAUGAUAACAAUAUGAUAAAAAGUUUGUUUUGGAAUAGUCUCAGCUAGAUGGGUCUAAAUAGCCAUUUUAAUGUAAUCUAAAAAUAACACUAUGCCUAGCAGAAACUUUGGCGCUUUGGAGGUCCCCAUUGUCGCCUUUUCAUAAAAGUCCUUAAGUUUUCCAUAUGUCACCAAGCAAACAUUUGUAUAGGCAUUUACACAGAAAUAUAACCAUUGCAAUUAGAAAAUAUCCAAAAUAGCCUGUUAUCUUCCACGUGGCCUAGAUUAUUGACAAUCCCAAAUAUACAAUUUUUCUUUAAAAGUAGUACAAUUUCCUUUGUAGCUUCAAUUCCUUAUAUGACUUCAGACUGGAGAAGCCUGUUAAACCACUGUUAGUUUCAGUUAGAAAGUCUGAGAGACUUUAUACAUAAAUUCUCAAUUUGGCUGCUGUACACGUGCCAGAGUUUUACUACUGUAGUGACCGUUGAGAAGACCCUUGUUUAUUUACAUUUGAAGCACUGUUUGUGCAAACAACCUUUCAUUGUUAAGUGCCUGUAUUCCUUUCAUUUACUUCAUGUCCAGGGGUGCUAUUUACCUAGAACCAUUGUCUACUACAAUUAACAUUUACAUUACAAAGUGUGUGGUUUUCUUUUUCAAGGAGGUUCAAUUAAGGCAAUAAGAUGUUUGCUGGAGAAACCUAUUGUUUACUGAAAGCACUCAAUGAAGUCAAAUUACUGAAGCUUUUGCCUACAUCUUGGUCUUUUAUGUAAAUAUGUUAAAUAUAACAUCUAAGGAAAAUAAACAAUAUUAUAAUUAUGUGUUUGCCAUUGUCAUAUCAAACUUGCUUUGUAUCAUACUAAUGUUACAUAACUUAUCGAUCAAUAAAAAUACAUUUCAAUGUUAU